AGCAGCCGAGCCACUCGUCGUGUCUCCCGCGAGCGGUCUACUCAACAACCCUCCCCUGCUCUCGCGGUUGCCGACUAGAUAUCUGCUACCCUCUCUUGUACGGAGGCACACACACACACACACACAGAUACACACGACCGCCCACGCAUCCCAGUCGAAGCGUCCGCACCAAGAUGUGCGCUCUGCAGAGGGACGCCGCCACGAGGGCGGAGAAGCAGCCAUACCUCGCCCGCCAGAUUCCUAUGAUUCGGCUGAGCCGUUACCAGGCCAAAUUUGUGUGCGAGGGCAUCGGUACAUUCAUUUUCCUGAUGACGACGUCGCUAGCGGAGAUGAACUGCGGUAACCUAGCUGUGGACGGGAAGACUCGCACACGCAACCUCGCCCCGAUUGCGGAGGGGUUCAUGCUUUGCGUGCUUAUCUUCAUGUUCGGCUACAUCUCUGGUGGCCAUUUUAAUCCGGCUGUCACCUUCGCAGUUGUCAUGAUUCGCGGCAUGCGAGUCGAGGAGGCGAUUUCGUACUGGGUGGCUCAGGUGGUAGGCGCUCUGGUAGGUGCGGGGCUCAGUAUCCUUGUGCACGGCUCGACGCAACACUUGCCUGCACCGCAGGUCGUGCAGAACACGGCCGAGUACGUCUUUAGUGCCUUUGUAGCGGAGGCCGUGUUUACGAUGUUGCUUGUGACAGUGGUGCUGCACGCCGCCUACUCGCAGCAGCGCAACAACGACUUCUACGGCUUGGCAGUUGGCAUGUGCCUCCUCGCCUCCCAGUACGCUGUCGGCGGCGUGUCGGGUGGCGCCUUCAACCCAGCGGUCGCGACGGGUCUGCAGGUGACCAAGUUCAUUGCAGCUGGCUACUUCACGCAGCUCCUGUAUCUGUGGCUGUACUGGGCUGCGCCGGCCUGCGGCGCUGUUGCGGCGGCGUUUCUCUUUAUGAUGACCCACCCAGUGCCGAAAGACGAGGCUGGCGAGGUGCAGCAGCAGCGUGUGGCACGCAAUCUAUACAGCUCUUUCUGAGAUGCGAUUCCUGACUCCCCCUCCCCCUCCCACUCACUCCCUUUUCCUCACGCACAAACGUACAG
rnacentral:misc_RNA from 1 species